UACGGAGGGGGCUAGCGUUGUUCGGAAUUACUGGGCGUAAAGCGCACGUAGGCGGCUUUGUAAGUUAGAGGUGAAAGCCCAGGGCUCAACCCUGGAAUUGCCUUUAAGACUGCAUCGCUAGAAUUGUGGAGAGGUAAGUGGAAUUCCGAGUGUAGAGGUGAAAUUCGUAGAUAUUCGGAAGAACACCAGUGGCGAAGCGACUUACUGGACACAUAUUGACGCUGAGGUGCGAAAGCGUGGGGAGCAAACAGG
rnacentral:rRNA from 1 species